GCUCCAGCUAUGGCUGCUCCCGGGCUGGCCUCUGAUGUUUCCAGUGCAUCAUCUUGAUCUUCUGCAUGAGAACAGCUAAUAAGAUAAUGAAAAUGAGUGCGAUCACACCGUGGCCUGACCUGCUCCGGCCGGCGGCUGGUGAGGAGUCGGGGAUCCGCUCCGCUGGGCGAUCGUCUUGGAGGCGGCUGUCGGAGCGCAGGGGACAGAGGACCCGUUUCGCAUCUCCCCACUUCUCCCGAGGCAGCAAGUUAAACACCAGCUACAAUGAGCCAAAACUUCUGCCAGCGGUAACAGCCCCAGCA